rnacentral:rRNA from 1 species
UACGAAGGGAGCUAGCGUUGUUCGGAAUCACUGGGCGUAAAGCGCACGUAGGCGGAUUUGUCAGUCAGGGGGUGAAAUCCCGGGGCUCAACCUCGGAACUGCCUUUGAUACAGCAAGUCUUGAGUUCGAGAGAGGUGGGUGGAAUUCCUAGUGUAGGAGGUGAAAUUCGUAGAUAUUAGGAAGAACACCGGUGGCGAAGGCGGCCCACUGGCUCGAUACUGACGCUGAGGUGCGAAAGCGUGGGGAGCGAACGAGGAAUUGAUGAAA